rnacentral:misc_RNA from 1 species
GAUGAAGAACGUAGCGAAAUGCGAUAAGUAAUGUGAAUUGCAGAAUUCAGUGAAUCAUCGAAUCUUUGAACGCACAUUGCGCCCUCUGGUAUUCCGGGGGGCAUGCCUGUUCGAGCGUCAUUAUAACCACUCAAGCUCUCGCUUGGUAUUGGGGUUCGCGGUUUCGCGGCCCCUAAAAUCAGUGGCGGUGCCUGUCGGCUCUACGCGUAGUAAUACUUCUCGCGAUUGAGUUCGAUAGGUCUACUUGCCAGUAACCCCCAAUUUUUACAGGUUGACCUCGGAUCAGGUAGGGAUACCCGCUGAACUUAAGCAUAUCAAUAAGCGGAGG